AGAUGUCGCUACGGGGCUUUGCAAAUGCGGGUAAGGCCUUCGAGCCUGCUCAAUGGAUUUUUUAGGUGAGACACAGCAUGCACGGAACUGAACCCACCCUUUAAUCCUAAGGUUCAUCUGCUGGGGCCAAGCGAGCUUGGAUGGUGGUAGCGAGGUCCUCAGGAUGUGAUGAGAUGGCUGGAG